rnacentral:rRNA from 1 species
AGCAGCCGCGGUAAUUCCAGCUCCAAUAGCGUAUAUUAAAGUUGUUGCAGUUAAAAAGCUCGUAGUUGAAUUUCGGGGUUAGUAGGUUGGUCAUGCCACUGGUAUGUACUGAUCUUACUGAUUCCUCCUUCCUGAUGAACCGUAAUGCCAUUAAUUUGGUGUUGCGGGGAGACUGGACUGUUACUUUGAAAAAAUUAGAGUGUUUAAAGCAGGCUAACGCUUGAAUACAUUAGCAUGGAAUAAUGAAAUAGGACGUUCGAUCCUAUUUUGUUGGUUUCUAGGAUUGACGUAAUGAUUAAUAGGGAUAGUUGGGGGCAUUAGUAUUCAAUUGUCAGAGGUGAAAUUCUUGGAUUUAUUGAAGACUAACUACUGCGAAAGCAUUUGCCAAGGAUGUUUUCAUUAAUCAAGAACGAAAGUUAGGGGAUCGAAGACGAUCAGAUACCGUCGUAG